rnacentral:rRNA from 1 species
CAAACUAAAGAUGGCGACCGGCGCACGGGUGAGUAACACGUAUCCAACCUGCCGAUAACUCGGGGAUAGCCUUUCGAAAGAAAGAUUAAUAUCCGAUAGUAUAUUAAAACCGCAUGGUUUUACUAUUAAAGAAUUUCGGUUAUCGAUGGGAUGCGUUCCAUUAGUUUGUUGGCGGGGUAACGGCCCACCAAGACUACGAUGGAUAGGGGUUCUGAGAGGAAGGCCCCCCACAUUGGAACUGAGACACGGUCCAA